rnacentral:rRNA from 1 species
UACGUAGGGCGCAAGCGUUAUCCGGAAUUAUUGGGCGUAAAGAGCUCGUAGGCGGUUUGUCGCGUCUGCUGUGAAAGACCGGGGCUCAACUCCGGUUCUGCAGUGGGUACGGGCAGACUAGAGUGCAGUAGGGGAGACUGGAAUUCCUGGUGUAGCGGUGAAAUGCGCAGAUAUCAGGAGGAACACCGAUGGCGAAGGCAGGUCUCUGGGCUGUAACUGACGUGAGGAGCGAAAGCAUGGGGGAGCGAACAGG